UGGGGAAUAUUGCACAAUGGGCGCAAGCCUGAUGCAGCGACGCCGCGUGAGGGAUGACGGCCUUCGGGUUGUAAACCUCUUUCAGCAGGGAAGAAGCGCAAGUGACGGUACCUGCAGAAGAAGCGCCGGCUAACUACGUGCCAGCAGCCGCGGUAAUACGUAGGGCGCAAGCGUUGUCCGGAAUUAUUGGGCGUAAAGAGCUCGUAGGCGGUUUGUCGCGUCUGCUGUGAAAACGCGAGGCUCAACCUCGCGCCUGCAGUCGGUACGGGCAGACUAGAGUGCGGUAGGGGAGACUGGAAUUCCUGGUGUAGCGGUGGAAUGCGCAGAUAUCAGGAGGAACACCGGUGGCGAAGGCGGGUCUCUGGGCCGUAACUGACGCUGAGGAGCGAAAGCAUGGGGAGCGAACA
rnacentral:rRNA from 1 species